UUUAUCUCAAGUUAUCAAUAGGAUUUCAGAAAGAAAUAUAAGUAUGGAUGUGGAAGAACAUAUCUAUCCUGUCCUGAAAAAGAUUCACGCACAAGGCCCUUUAGUUGAUGAAAUGGUAUGCCAGCAGUACAAGGAAUUAUACUUGGAAAAAUACUGUUUUAAAGUCACACCUGCUGAUCAAGGAGUAAUGAUUAACAAUGAAAUUGGAUGCAUUCAAAAUAUUAUUUCAAAUAAAUGUGAGCCUAAUAAUAUAAGUAUAAUAUAUCAAGUAUAUCAGGUUAAGGAAAUUGUUUUUCAUUACCCAUUAUCAUCUGCAAAUUUAGGAAUUUACAAAGUUAAAACACUGCAAAAAGAUUUGAAGAUAUCUUCUUACAUGGCAAUCCAAAGAAAAUAUUUGCUGAUACAAUUAUCACAAAAUUCAUUUGCUGCUUUUCCACUUGUUCACAGCCUUCAGCCACAGUGAUUCAAUCAAUCAGCAUGACUUCCAAAGAGUUUUGUGUAGUUGUGUUUGUUGAAACACAAGAGGUGGAUGUUGCUCCAAGCAUUUGGCUUUCAAAAAAUGAAAGAAAAUGUAGAUGGCCUCCAUACAGAGACUCCCAGAAAACUCAAAAGGCUAUCAAGGACCAAGUCAUGCCUGGGGAAAGUUGGCCUACCUAUCCAGUGUGAGUACUUGGCUUUUAGGAUUGAAGCGUAAAACACUUUAUGAAGACACAGACUGCUCUGACUCAUCUGGAGAUACAUCAACUAUGCAGCCAAGCCCAAGCACAAUUCCAGAACCCCCUCGUGUUUCUGGUUUCCCAUCUCUUCAAAGAAGUAAUGCUUUUUGCAUCCCUAAGGUUGACAGAGACACGCAUUCUGACCGUAAGUGAUGCUGCUAACUUUGCAUAAACAUUUUGGGUGUAACUGUAAUAUCUUACAUUUAUCUUUUAACUUUUUUGCAAUAUUGAUAAAAGCUUAAUUUGUAUACAUUGUUUAUCAUGUUUCAUAUAAGUAAUUUAGAUAUUCAAUUAGUAUACCUCAUGAAAAAAAAUUCUCGUGAAAUAGUAGUGAAACUGGAAUUUUUUCAAGCUUCAUACAUGACAUCAUUGUUUAAAAGACUUACUGAACCUAUACACUCUAAUCAGAGUACCUGUAGACCAGAAUGAUUGCAUGCAAAUCUAUUCCAGGAACUGAUGGACAUAGUUGAAUUUAUCACACUGGUCACAAAUCAAAUCUACACACGGCCAUUCCAGCACUACAGUAAUGUUAACAUUACAGUCUGGCAUGUACACAAGUAUAUCCUAAGGCACCUGAUAGACAUAGGUCACACUGGUUACAGAUUACACUUAUAUCUAUAGCCAUUCUAACGCUACAGUAACCUUAACAUGCACUUUACACAAGAUACAUGGGCUUACCAAUGUGGACUAAGCCACCAUGGUAAGGUAUGGUCUGGAGUUAAAGGAUGACUAACAACAAAAUCACUGUGUGAUAUUUCAUUACAUACUAUUCUACAUACUAUUCUGCUUGUUCUAGUGACUUAGAAAUCUGAAUCUGAAAUUUCUAUGGCAACUUUUUCUUUCAGAAUUGAAGACUAUUCUACUUGCUUUAGCAAGAUGUGAGACACGCACGGAAGAUCAAACUAAACUGCUUCAACAACUAAUGGCAACGCAGAAGGAUAUGCUACACCAGCUGUUGACAAUGCAGUCGGUAUCAUCAUCAUCACAGGAAUAUGACUUUACUGCUGUUGAUGAUGUACUACCAAUUGAAACACUUCAGGGAUUUGAUGCUCUUGAAGGAAGACUGACAUCUGAUCAAGAAUUUAAAGAGCUUAUGGUAAGUAAAAUUAAUAAUUUUAUUAACACUUUAUUUGAAUGAUGUUACGUGUAGCGAUCCAUGCUAUUUUUAUGAUAUUUACUUGUGUCUGUCUGUGUGUAUGUAUGUCCUACAACUAUAUCAUUGUGUGUCCAGUAUCUUGUUUCCGUCUAUUUAUGUCUCAACUUGUGUCUUGUUGUGCCCCUUUAGCCCUACGGCAUCAUGUCAACAACACAUGUCCUGCAGCUGCUCCGUCCAUCCCAGUCUCCCUCCCCUCACCCGUUCAUAGAAAAAAUGUUUGUUUGUUUUUCUUUUUUCCUUAACUCCUCCCAUACCCUUCUCCUGAGCCACUCACAGAAAACUAUCCAUGUUUGGGUGUGACCUACAAUGACCUCCAUACACUGCCCAUACCCUGACAUCGUGUCCACUCACUUCUCCGCCCACUAAUUGUGACCAAUCCCUGCCCUAAAUUAUGUGUAAAAUAAGGUUUUGUUCCACCCCUUUGUGUUUCUUUCCCUCCCUCUUUUGAAUUGUAUAAAAAGUCCUUCUCUUGCCUUCACUUCACUUCAGCAUUCCAGGUGCCUUGGUCCCUCCCUUCCCCUACCGCUCCUCUCUAGUCUUGUGUAAGUACAACAUAAUGUGAAUUUCCCCGGUAACUUAGUGUGUGUGUGUGUCUGCGGGUUAGGUGUUAUGUUGUAGGAUUUAUUUGUGUCUUCAUAUUUGUGAUUUUAUUUAUUUACCGUACUUUACUGUUGUGCUUAUUUUAUCUUAAAGUAGUAACUGGACUUAUCUUUUGGAACUUGUAAAUAUUUCACUUUCAUUUUUGUUGUAUUAAUAUAAUUUCUUUUGUUAUUAAAUUAAGAAACCAUUUCAAGUUUUCCUUUUUUUCCUUUCUUGUCCCUUGUUUUAAGUUUACUUAAGUGAUCCCUUUUAUUUAUUUUUUGAUUGUGUUUAUGCAUCUAGAGGCCCCUUGGUAAUGAUUACCAAAGGUUGUGUAACAAUGAAUGAUAACAAAAUAAACUGGAAUAAUGUUUUACAUAUUUUAGCCUAACUGUGUGUGAAAGACGCAGUCAGGUUCUUUUAGUUUGAGUUUGCAAAACUAGUUGAUCACACUCUAGUCGUAGUUAAAUCAAGCGAACUGUAUGUUGGGAAAAUACUUCAAAUGCAUGAUAAAAAAUAACAAAGAACAUAUUAUUAUCUAAGUUAUAUGUUUUAGGUACAACGGCUGAAGGUUUUGGGAGGAACUACAUUGAGAGUUGCAGUAAAGUCAAUUUUGGAUACUGUCAUGUCAAAUCGACUGCAACAGAAAUUCAAUUGGGAGGGCAAGAAGUGUUGGAAAACAAAGGAGAAUUUCACCAAGAUAGGAUUCAAGUCAACAAAGCUUUGUCAACUGGUGUGUGGAGUGCUGCUCAUGAAGCCACAAUUUUCUACAGAUGAGAAGGAGAUUGGUCAAACAAUUAUGAAAUAUCUCCGUUGUUCCAGCGAUCGUUGUGGAGGUAGAGCACAAAGGUUGAAAUCCCAGUCAAAUGAUUCAGCACAUUCAUCACAAGAUGGUGUUUUGUCAGACAUAGAUAGCUAGAUCUUAAUUAGGUGAUUGAUCACAAUAGCCAUGUCAGAGUAUGGUUUAAGUAUUUGUAUACGGUUCUUUUUUACUGGGAAAGUAAUGGAAGGAAUUUCAUCUCAUGCAUUACAAAAGAUUCUCCAAGGAAAAGAUUACUGGAUUUGUUAUUUUCAGUUUCUGUUUGAAUCCCCUUAACUUCUUGCAAUGUUUCAUGCAGUUAAUACUGUAUUCAUCAUCAUC